rnacentral:rRNA from 1 species
AUUGAACGCUGGCGGCAUGCUUUACACAUGCAAGUCGAACGGUAACAGGCCGCAAGGUGCUGACGAGUGGCGAACGGGCGAGUAAUGCAUCGGAACGUGCCCAGUCGUGGGGGAUAACGCAGCGAAAGCUGUGCUAAUACCGCAUACGAUCUAUGGAUGAAAGCGGGGGACCGUAAGGCCUCGCGCGAUUGGAGCGGACGAUGUCAGAUUAGGUAGUUGGUGGGGUAAAGGCUCACCAAGCCAACGAUCUGUAGCUGGUCUGAGAGGACGACCAGCCACACUGGGACUGAGACACGGCCCAUACUCCUACGGGAGGCAGCAGUGGGGAAUUUUGGACAAUGGGCGCAAGCCUGAUCCAGCAAUGCCGCGUGCAGGAAGAAGGCCUUCGGGUUGUAAACUGCUUUUGUACGGAACGAAAAGGUUUGGGUUAAUACCCUGGGCCGAUGACGGUACCGUAAGAAUAAGCACCGGCUAACUACGUGCCAGCCGCCGCAGUAA